AGGAAGUUGAAGUUGGAUGGAUGAGGUGGCUUAUCAACUCACAGAAGCACUAAGCAUGCUUUUCUGCCUGACUCUAAAAUGCAUUCACUUUCCACUAAACUAUAAUCAUCACCAAAAUGAAGUCAGGUGGUGUCAACUGUACUUGAUCUUGGACGAUAAUAUGAAGGCCAGAUGAGCCAUGGGGCUAGAAUUCAAACCCAGGUCCCCAAAAAUCAAUCCUAGCCAAGAGCAUUGGCCGUAAGAGUCAUACAAGUAGAAGUUUAAAUCCAGCCUAUUGAACUCACAAGUGACUAGAUGAACCAGCAAGAUGCUAAAAAUCCUGGAUGAAGAGAAGCUUGGUUGUUCACGUGUCCAGUUACAAACACAGAUCAUGUUAGGCAAGGAGAAGGCGACAUGCUGUUGGGCAAGUAACUGGGCUGUGAAGUUUACUAUGGGGACCAGGAAAGGACCGUCUCAAAUGAGACAUUUAAACAGCAACCUGAAGGAGGUCCUGUGGUGAUUGUGUGAGGUUUGUGAGACAGCUGUUCUCACUGAGGCAGCAAGUUCAA
rnacentral:lncRNA from 1 species